rnacentral:rRNA from 1 species
CCUACGGGCGGCAGCAGUGGGGAAUAUUGGACAAUGGGGGCAACCCUGAUCCAGCCAUGCCGCGUGUGUGAAGAAGGCCCUCGGGUUGUAAAGCACUUUCAGUGAGGAAGAACGCCUGGUGGUUAAUACCCAUCAGGAAAGACAUCACUCACAGAAGAAGCACCGGCUAACUCCGUGCCAGCAGCCGCGGUAAUACGGAGGGUGCGAGCGUUAAUCGGAAUUACUGGGCGUAAAGCGCGCGUAGGUGGCUUGAUAAGCCGGUUGUGAAAGCCCCGGGCUCAACCCGGGAACGGCAUCCGGAACUGUCAAGCUAGAGUGCAGGAGAGGAAGGUAGAAUUCCCGGUGUAGCGGUGAAAUGCGUAGAGAUCGGGAGGAAUACCAGUGGCGAAGGCGGCCUUCUGGACUGACACUGACACUGAGGUGCGAAAGCGUGGGUAGCAAACAGGAUUAGAUACCCUGGUAGUC